GUAGAGCCGCAGUGAAUAGGCCCAAACGACUGUUUAGCAAAAACACAGGUCUCUGCUAAAUCGCAAGAUGACGUAUAGGGGCUGACGCCUGCCCGGUGCUGGAAGGUUAAGGGGAUGGGUUAGCGCAAGCGAAGCUUUGAACCGAAGCCCCAGUAAACGGCGGCCGUAACUAUAACGGUCCUAAGGUAGCGAAAUUCCUUGUCGGGUAAGUUCCGACCCGCACGAAAGGCGUAACGAUUUGGGCACUGUCUCAACGAGAGACCCGGUGAAAUCAUAGUACCUGUGAAGAUGCAGGUUACCCGCGACAGGACGGAAAGACCCCAUGGAGCUUUACUACAGCCUGAUAUUGAGGCUUUGUGCAUGAUGUACAGGAUAGGCGGGAGACGUCGAGCCCGGAGCGCCAGCUUCGGAGGAGUCACCCUUGGGAUACCGCCCUUCAUGCAUAGAGUCUCUAACUCGCAGCCGUGAUCCGGCUGGAGGACCGUGUCAGGCGGGUAGUUUGACUGGGGCGGUCGCCUCCUAAACAGUAACGGAGGCGCCCAAAGGUUCCCUCAGAAUGGUUGGAAAUCAUUCGUAGAGCGCAAAGGCAGAAGGGAGCUUGACUGCGAGACCUACAAGUCGAGCAGGGACGAAAGUCGGGCUUAGUGAUCCGGUGGUUCCGCAUGGAAGGGCCAUCGCUCAACGGAUAAAAGCUACCCUGGGGAUAACAGGCUGAUCUCCCCCAAGAGUCCACAUCGACGGGGAGGUUUGGCACCUCGAUGUCGGCUCAUCGCAUCCUGGGGCUGGAGUAGGUCCCAAGGGUUGGGCUGUUCGCCCAUUAAAGCGGUACGCGAGCUGGGUUCAGAACGUCGUGAGACAGUUCGGUCCCUAUCCGUCGUGGGCGCAGGAAAUUUGAGGAGAGCUGUCCUUAGUACGAGAGGACCGGGAUGGACGCACCGCUGGUGUACCAGUUGUUCCGCCAGGAGCAUCGCUGGGUAGCUACGUGCGGACGGGAUAAAUGCUGAAAGCAUCUAAGCAUGAAGCCCCCUCCAAGAUGAGAUUUCCCUUUGAGUAAUCAAGAAAGACCCCUCAGAGACGAUGAGGUAGAUAGGUCACGGGUGGAAGCAUGGCGACAUGUGGAGCUGAGUGAUACUAAUCGGUCGAGGCCUUGUUCUA
rnacentral:rRNA from 1 species